UUUGAAACCACUGAACAAGCAAUGCGCUACAUAUUAGGCACACCUGUAGCUCAGUAGCAAAGGCACUGAUAAAAUGUUUGCAAAAAGAACAGCGAUUUUCAACACAUACAUCACAAAAUACGACACUCGUCGCUGCAACAACGAUGGCGAUUGCAUAAUGAUGAUGAUGUUGGUGUAACUUCCGCUGGAUUGGCAUAUGUGUUAUUAAACAUUUAACCUCCACCACCCAAUUAUAAUGAACGGCCACAGAAAUUAAAGUAUUACAAAAAAUAAGUACUCAAUAAGCACGAGCUAAAGCAAUGGCAAUGACGCCUGCCCGUCUACCCAAUCACCAUCCAUCAUCCAUCCAUCCAACCAGUUCGAACCAGUUCAGUUUCAACGGUUGAAACUUCAAACUUUCCGGACGCGCAACGGGUAGCAGUUGGGGUCUUCGCGGCUGCAUUCCACUGGUUGUUAUACGAAAAUCUUUCGAAGUUCUAAUCUCCCGCGCGUUUUGUCUUGCAAUUUUUGAGCAUAGCGAGAACGUACGCCGUGCUGUCCAGUGAUAAGAGCUGUUGAGCGCAGCAGAGCUCCCAGAGUACUGUGGUGGACAACGUUUCUUUGUUCUCUGGCUUUCAAGUUUAAGGGGUGCUUGGACUAUCUUGCAUCGGUGGAUAUGAAAAUAGUGGUAACCUACCCUACGAAACAGCUGUUUGCACAUAAGCUUAACAGUUCCCUGUGAGAUGCUGUGAAAGUCAGCAGGGAAGUGCGAUGUAGAAGAAACGACUGCCAGAAGCUUGCUAAGGAACCGCACAACCUGUGUGGGCAGCAGACAAAAUAUUCAUCAAACGAAGCUUUGCACCAAAGUUAUGAGAGCAGCACAGAUGUUGUUUUAGCGUAAUGGAGUGAUGGAAGUGCUGCACCAAUCAUGGAGUGCUUAGCAGUCGCCUGCUCGACCAGCCACAGUGAGUCAUUGGAGGCAGUGCUACAGCACCAACAAUCACUCGUUGGAAGAAAGGAAUGAGGUGGCCAUCAACACCCUGCUGCCAGUUCAACACUCCUCAGUCAAAACACAAGACGCCUGCUUGGCGGCAAAGUCAAUCCAGUUUUAGACAAGAGUUUUGUACCGUAGACUUCGUGUGUGGCUUACUGCGAAUAAAUGUUUAUGCUGA